rnacentral:rRNA from 1 species
CAGUCGCCACGGGAACACGAAGGGUGCAAGCGUUACUCGGAAUUACUGGGCGUAAAGCGUGCGUAGGCGGUUACUCAAGUCAGAGGUGAAAGCCCGGGGCUCAACCCCGGAACUGCCUUUGAAACUAGGUGACUAGAAUCUUGGAGAGGUCAGUGGAAUUCCGAGUGUAGAGGUGAAAUUCGUAGAUAUUCGGAAGAACACCAGUGGCGAAGGCGACUGACUGGACAAGUAUUGACGCUGAGGUGCGAAAGCGUGGGGAGCAAACAGGAUUAGAUACCCCCGUAGUCCCUGUCUCUUAUAA